GGUCGACUAGUCUAGUGGUUAUGGCGCUCGCUUUACAUUGACGACCUCUCUUUAAAGAGUGAAAUGUUCGCGAGAUGUCGCAGGUUCGAUCCCUGCGUCGAUCA